CUCUAAGCGGUGGAUCACUCGGUUCUCGG
rnacentral:rRNA from 2 species